CCUACGGGAGGCAGCAGUGGGGAAUUUUGGACAAUGGGGGCAACCCUGAUCCAGCAAUGCCGCGUGAGUGAAGAAGGCCUUCGGGUUGUAAAGCUCUUUUGUCAGGGAAGAAACAGCAGCUCUAACACAGACUGCGAAUGACGGUACCUGAAGAAUAAGCACCGGCUAACUACGUGCCAGCAGCCGCGGUAAUACGUAGGGUGCGAGCGUUAAUCGGAAUUACUGGGCGUAAAGCGUGCGCAGGCGGUUAUACAGGACAGGCGUGAAAUCCCCGGGCUUAACCUGGGAAUGGCGUCUGUGACUGUAUAGCUAGAGUGUGUCAGAGGGGGGUGGAAUUCCACGUGUAGCAGUGAAAUGCGUAGAUAUGUGGAGGAACACCAAUGGCGAAGGCAGCCCCCUGGGAUAACACUGACGCUCAUGCACGAAAGCGUGGGGAGCAAACAGGAUUAGAUACCCUGGCAGUCCACGCCCUAAACGAUGCUGACUAGUUGUUGGGAAUUUACAUUCUCAGUAACGUAGCUAACGCGUGAAGUCAGCCGCCUGGGGAGUACGGUCGCAAGAUUAAAACUUAAAUGAAAUUGACGG
rnacentral:rRNA from 1 species